AUGAAAUGUACAAUUCAUCAGUGAGUAACUACUUGUCUUUCACAUUCUCAGUUACUACAUCAUUAGUUACACUUCAUCUUCAUCUAACAAAUAGGAAAAGAAGUCUUCAUGAUCUUCAUCGGUUUUGGUACAUCUGCGUAUGCUGUGAGUGACAAACUUAUCAUCUGUGAAAUUACGGCUUUAAACAAGGAAUAACUCAAAUAAAGAAAAAUAAAAUCAGGAAAAGUCCAACGACAAUCAACAGUCUCUUUAAAACUUGUUAAAGUUGAGCGCUUCUUCCUGGAUGAGGAUGUUGAUGUUGUUGUGCACUUUACAAAAGUCAUUCUCAGGGUGUUUCCCAUAUAUGGUUGUGCUAAUACGCUCGGCAUGUGCGAGCAAACAUAACAGUCUUUCUCUGCAGUUCUGUUAAACGCGUAUCUGUACCAGGCAUAGUCCAUCUCUUUUCUCGGCUCGUGUAUUGUUGUCUUCCUUCUUCCUGGGUGGAUAGUGUGAUGAGCAGAGCCGUUGCCAGUAGUGAGACACCAGUUACCACCUGAGAACACUACAUUUUACUUAAGGCAUUUAGGUCAUUUCUAUUUUUUUCAAAGAACCCACACAUCUUACAUAUUUCAAACUUUUAAGUUAGGAAAAAACUUUGCAUUGCUCACAGCUCAUAGCUCACAGCUCUAAAACCAGACAUUAGUAAAUCAUAUGCCUAAUCAUUAUGUGUCAUUGUGAUCCACAAGUAUGAUCACAAAUUUGUGAUCAAAAAGUUUAAGCUGAAGUAAUGAGUGCUGGAUAGCAAAUAAAUAAGUGUGUGUGUGUGUGUAUACGUGUGUAUACGUGUGUAUAUAUGAGAUGGCAUUGUUUAACGAGAUUGGGGUCUCAACAGUUGAGUUGGCUGAGCAUGGUGUAGCAUCUCAGCAUGUUCCCCUGUUGCCAGAUCAAGCUAUAGCACCAUCUGUGUCUACGCCUGUUGCUCAGGAACUGCCUGAGGGCACUGCCGACGACACUGCCUCAUUUUGAGCCACUCUCGAUACAGUUCUUUUUGGGUUCAAAGCAGGAUGCUAGGCUACGAGUUCAUCUGGCUCAUCUCCAGCUGGAGAGAGAAAAAUGCGAAAGGGAGUUUCAUCUGAAGGAGGAGUUGGAACUUAGGCGUUUAGGGGCAGAGCUGGCCAGAGCCAGGGAGAUUGAGCUGAAAAACGUGAAAGCAGAGACAACUUUUAAGAUGUAACAUUUAGAACUCCAACAGGUUUCCCUUCUUACGACUGCCACCAUUCCACAGCCACGGGCAGCGUUUGAUGUAGGAGAAAGGUUGGCUAGUUGAAAAAAGUUGGUUGAUGUGGCACAUUGACUUCUGAAGAAAUUUUAGAUUGCACUCAUCAGAAAAGUUGCCAACCCCUGCUAUAGAGUUUAAUUUGACUGUAUGAGAUUAACAUUCAGUUUCUAUGUUGUCAGCUAUAAUGGCUGGACAGCCUUUAAGAAUCAAAUCAGCUUCUAAAUAAUUUGCUGGUUUUUCCUCUUCUUGUUUUUUACUUUCUUUGAGGCUCUGGUGACUCUGUAGACUCUUGAGUCUAGAAAAGCAGCUGUUGGACAGAAAGAUGUCAACUGAGUGAUUCAAGACACCCUGUGCCAGAUGCAGCAAAGCAGCCCCAGAACAUAACAGAGCCUCCUCCAUGUUUCACAGGUGCCAGCAGUUUUGUCCACGUGUGUAUGUCCCACUGGGAGGAGUUCCCCUGGAUAAAGCUGGAGGUGGUGGCUGGGCAGAGAGAGUUCUGGGCUUCUCUGCUUGGGUCCCAGAGGCAGGAUCCUGACUGCAGAUAAAUGGAACAGUGCAAUGAUUCAGCUUGAUUGUCUAUCUUGAGGAUACCAGGAGAGACGAGCCCUCCGUCACAGAUGGUGUGUUCAGUGAAGAAAGUCACCUGCAGAUUCAAGACCAUUGCAUCUCUAUCCCACAUUCACUGCCACUGUACAUAAGGGAAGUUGAACUUUCUUCAACCACUGCAUUUUCAUCAUCUUAAUCCAUGAGUCAUUCAGGCAGUAAUGCCUGGACUGAGCAGGACUGCUUAAACUUGGGUUCAAAAUAAUUCAAUCUAAAACUUUGGUUUUGUUUUUUUUGUAAGGUUAUUAAAGUUUUAAAUUGUUUAACAAAUAAAUAUGAAAAUUUAAUUUGAUAAUAUUUGAAGUAUAAUUAAAUAACACAAGCUACAAUAGUGGGAAUAUACUUGUUUGUCAUUACAGUGUCCAGUAUGUUGGCUAAUAAAUAGUUUUUGCAUUUGAAAAUAAAAGUUGAGCUGAUUUCAGCUGCAUCACAAAAUGUGUUUUAUUAUUUUUUUUAAUCAUACUUGCAUACAUUGUUUAUUGAUUAGGUGUUGUACUAGAAAGCUCUUGUUCAAGGAUGACAAAAUGUAAUGUGAUUUAGUUGCAUUAUGAUUUGUAUGCAAGUAAAAUUAAAUUGCAAGUUACCACAAAUUGUUUUUAAUGUAGUUAAACUUAAUGUUUAUUUCAGUGGAUAAACAUUUAAUGUCUCAUUCAGGAAAUUUGGGGGGGGUGGCCAGUUUAGUGGCGACCCUGUCAUCAAGAUAUAUUCUGGCAAAAUUGAGAGGAGCCUUUAUGUUCCUUUUGCUUAGCGAUGGUUUUCGUCUUGGAACUCUGCCAUGCAGGCCAUUUUUGCCCAGUCUUUCUUAUAUUGGAGUUAUAUUGCAAGUGAGGCCUGCAGUUCUUUGGAGGUUGUUCUGGGGUUUUUUUUGUGAACUCUUCAAUGAGUAGUUGCUGUGCUCUUGGGAGUAAUUUUGGAAGGGCGGUCACUCCUGGCAAGGUUAAUCACUGUUCCAAGUUUUCUCAUUUGUUCCUGAAUUUCCUUGGAUUGUGGCAUGAUGUCUGGCUUUUGAGGAUCUUUUGGUCUACUCCACUUUGUCAGGCAAGUUAUAUUAAAGUGAUUUAGCAACCACAAUGCCUUAGAAAUGGCAAAUGGCAAACCACAGCCCUCACUGGUUUGCUGUGCUGCCUGUGGACACUCAAAUUGCUCAGAAGACAUGCAUAUUUUUCCCACUGAUCACAAAAAGAGAAAGGAAUAGUUGGCUCGAGUCAGUAGGAGUGACCUUAAACUGACAAAAGAUUACAACAGAAAAGUAUUUGAGGUAAAAUCGUAACAAUGCAUUUGCACUUUUCACAAAGAUCACACCACUGGGAAGAUUGAUUAAAAGGUAAAUUAAAAACCAUUUCAGGAAAUGUUUACUUUAUUGUUUUUACGUGGUUGGAAAUCCUUUAACCACACAGGUGGAGUAGCAACUCUUGCACUUCUUUGAACCAAUAGUCUUUUUUUUUCUGGCUUUGCUGUUCUGAGUGGGAUGUCUGGCAGCAUACAUUAGUACUUCCUCCAAUCUGCUUCUCAACAGUCAACAAACAGGUGGUAUAAACUUUGAAGAGCAUCUUUUCUGCUUGGCACAAAGACACAGCUCAGAUUUGGACUCAUUAGACCAAAGCACAGAUUUCCACUGGUCUAAUGUCCAUUCCUUGUGUUUCUUGGCCCAAACAAAUCUCCUCUGCUUGCUUUUCCUUUGUAUUGGUUUCUUAGCAGCUAUCUGACCAUAAAGGUCUGAUUUGCGCAGUCUUCUCUGAACAAUUGAUAUAGAGAUGUCUGGUACUGGAACUCUGUGUGGCAUUUAUCUGGGCGUUGAGGUGCUGUUAACUUGCGAUUUGUGGGGCUAGUGACUCAGAUGAAUUUCUCGUCAGCAGCAGAGGUGACUCUUGGUCUUCCUUUUCUGGAGUGGUCCUCAUUUGAGCCAGUUUCAUCAUAGUGCUUGAUGGUUUUUGCAACUACGCAUUCAAAGUUUUAGCAAUUUUCAGGCCGACUGACCUUUAGUUCUUAAAAUAAUGAUGGACUGUCAUUUCUCUGUACUUUGCUGAUUGGUUCUUGCCAUAAUAUGAAUUCUAACAGUUGUCACAUAGGUUGGUACAUAGCUGACAGCCCUGACUUCUGCACAACAAAACUGAUUGUCCCAACCCCAUUAAGAAGGCAAGAAAUUCCCCAAAUGAACCCUGACAAGACACACCUGUGAAGUGAAAACCAUUUCAUGUGACUACACCAUGAAGCUUAUUGAGAGAAG